rnacentral:rRNA from 1 species
GACGAACGCUGGCGGCGUGCUUAACACAUGCAAGUCGAACGGAAAGGCCCUGCUUUUGUGGGGUGCUCGAGUGGCGAACGGGUGAGUAACACGUGAGUAACCUGCCCUUGACUUUGGGAUAACUUCAGGAAACUGGGGCUAAUACCGGAUAGGAGCUCCUGCUGCAUGGGGGGGGUUGGAAAGUUUCGGCGGUUGGGGAUGGACUCGCGGCUUAUCAGCUUGUUGGUGGGGUAGUGGCUUACCAAGGCUUUGACGGGUAGCCGGCCUGAGAGGGUGACCGGCCACAUUGGGCCUGAGAUACGGCCCAGACUCCUACGGGACGCAGCAGUGGGGAAUAUUGCACAAUGGGCGGAAGCCUGAUGCAGCAACGCCGCGUGCGGGAUGACGGCCUUCGGGUUGUAAACCGCUUUCGCCUGUGACGAAGCGUGAGUGACGGUAAUGGGUAAAGAAGCACCGGCUAACUACGUG